rnacentral:lncRNA from 1 species
AUUAUUAUUUUUAUUACUUUUGAAGUAUUUUGUAUAAAAGGCAGCUCAUAUAAAGACAACUCCUUAUACAAAGCAAAAAUCAUAUAUAUAAAAAUUUACAUUUCACAUUAAAUAUCACAUUCAAAAAUAUCACUCAAUUUAUUUUCUUUCACAUAAUUCAUUCACACAUUCUCCAAUAUACACAUACAUUACACUUAUACACAACCUUUAAUAUAUAUAAAUCACAGACUUCCAAUUAUCCACUUGUUAUUUAUUGCCAGUGGAUAUCGAGUACAAUAUAAAACAACAACACAAGAUAUAAAGUUUGGAUCAUUUAAAAAAUAUGAUUAAUUAAAUGGAUGUGAGAAUGUCAAUUUAAAGGACGAAA